rnacentral:tRNA from 1 species
UAUCGUGAGGGUUCAAGUCCCUCUAUCCCCAA